rnacentral:rRNA from 1 species
CCUACGGGCGGCUGCAGUGGGGAAUAUUGGGCAAUGGGCGCAAGCCUGACCCAGCAACGCCGCGUGAAGGAAGAAGGCUUUCGGGUUGUAAACUUCUUUUCUCAGGGACGAAGCAAGUGACGGUACCUGAGGAAUAAGCCACGGCUAACUACGUGCCAGCAGCCGCGGUAAUACGUAGGUGGCAAGCGUUAUCCGGAUUUACUGGGUGUAAAGGGCGUGUAGGCGGGUGCGCAAGUCAGAUGUGAAAACCACGGGCUCAACCGGUGGCCUGCAUUUGAAACUGUGUUUCUUGAGUACUGGAGAGGCAGUCGGAAUUCCGAGUGUAGCGGUGAAAUGCGUAGAUAUAAGGAGGAACACCAGUGGCGAAGGCGGACUGCUGGACAGCAACUGACGCUGAGGCGCGAAAGCGUGGGGAGCAAACAGGAUUAGAUACCCUGGUAGUC